rnacentral:rRNA from 1 species
UACGUAGGGGGCUAGCGUUGUCCGGAAUCAUUGGGCGUAAAGCGCGUGUAGGCGGCCCGGUAAGUCCGCUGUGAAAGUCGGGGGCUCAACCCUCGAAAGCCGGUGGAUACUGUCGGGCUCGAGUACGGAAGAGGCGAGUGGAAUUCCUGGUGUAGCGGUGAAAUGCGCAGAUAUCAGGAGGAACACCCAUUGCGAAGGCAGCUCGCUGGGACGUUACUGACGCUGAGACGCGAAAGCGUGGGGAGCAAACAGG